UACGGGGGGGGCAAGCGUUGUUCGGAAUUACUGGGCGUAAAGGGCUUGUAGGUGGCCAACUAAGUCACACGUGAAAUCCCCAGGCUUAACCGGGGAACUGCGUGUGAUACUGGAUGGCUUGAAUCCGGGAGAGGGAUGCGGAAUUCCAGGUGUAGCGGUGAAAUGCGUAGAUAUCUGGAGGAACACCGGUGGCGAAGGCGGCAUCCUGGACCGGUACUGACACUGAAAAGCGAAAGCCAGGGGAGCAAACGGG
rnacentral:rRNA from 1 species